rnacentral:rRNA from 1 species
UACGGGGGGGGCAAGCGUUGUUCGGAAUUACUGGGCGUAAAGGGCGCGUAGGCGGCCUGCUAAGUCGGAUGUGAAAUCCCUCGGCUCAACCGAGGAACUGCAUCCGAUACUGGCCGGGCUUGAAUCCGGGAGAGGGAUGUGGAAUUCCAGGUGUAGCGGUGAAAUGCGUAGAUAUGGGGGGAGAACACUCGUGGCGAAGGCGGCCAGCUAGACCAGUUCUGACACUGAGGCGCGACAGCGUGGGGGAGCAAACAGG